CCUACGGGAGGCAGCAGUGAGGAAUAUUGGUCAAUGGGCUCGAUCCUUAACCAGCCAAGUCUCGUGAGGGAAGACGGUCCUAUGGAUUGUAAACCUCUUUUGUCGGGGAGCAAAAGACGCCACGCGUUGCGUUCCGAGAGUCCCCGAAGAAAAAGCAUCGGCUAACUCCGUGCCAGCAGCCGCGGUAAUACGGAGUAUGCGAGCGUUCUCCGGAUUUAUUGGGUUUAAGGGGUGCGCAGGCGGAAGAGCAAGUCAGCGGUAAAAGUGAGAGGCUCAACCUCUUCGAGCCGUUGAAACUGGUUUUCUUGAGUGAGUGAGAAGUAUGUGGAAUGCGUGGUGUAGCGGUGAAAUGCAUAGAUAUCACGCAGAACUCCGAUUGCGAAGGCAGCAGACCGGCGCUCAACUGACGCUCAUGCACGAAAGUGUGGGUAUCGAACAGGAUUAGAUACCCCAGUAGUC
rnacentral:rRNA from 1 species